rnacentral:tRNA from 1 species
GCAGGCGUAGUUCAAUGGUAGAACACCACCUUGCCAAGGUGGAUACGCGGGUCCGAUUCCCGUCGCCUGCUCCA